UACGUAGGGACCGAGCGUUGUCCGGAUUCAUUGGGCGUAAAGAGCUCGUAGGCGGCCACUCAAGUCGAAUGUGAAACCUCGAGACUUAACCUCGAGCCUGCAUUCGAUACUGGGCGGCUAGAGUCUGGUAGGGGGAUCUGGAAUUCCUGGUGUAGCGGUGGAAUGCGCAGAUAUCGUCAAGAACACCUAUAGCGAAGGCAGCUUACUAGGCUGUAACUGACGCUGAGGCACGAAAGUGUGGGGAUCAAACAGG
rnacentral:rRNA from 1 species